rnacentral:rRNA from 1 species
UACAGAGGGUGCAAGCGUUAAUCGGAAUUACUGGGCGUAAAGCGUGCGUAGGCGGUUAUCUAAGUCGGAUGUGAAAUCCCCGGGCUCAACCUGGGAAUUGCAUUCGAAACUGAAUAGCUAGAGUUCGGCAGAGGGAAGUGGAAUUUCCGGUGUAGCGGUGAAAUGCGUAGAUAUCGGAAGGAACAUCAGUGGCGAAAGCGACUUCCUGGACCAGAACUGACGAUCAGGCACGAAAGCGUGGGGAGCAAACAGG